rnacentral:rRNA from 1 species
GAUCAUUACCGAUCAUUGUCCAAGCCAAUCACUUGGUCACACCGAGAACUUGUUUGAAGGUUUGGGGGUAGUUCUGUGGUUUAAGAGAACUUGAAAUGUCGAGUUACGCUCGCAGCCUCCAACAUUUUUUUUGUACAAACACAACACUGUCACUUGCAGAGAAAAACUAUACUAUAAAAAGUAAAAAACUUUUAACGGUGGAUCUCUUGGCUCGUGCAUCGAUGAAGAACGCAGCCAGGUGCGAUAAGUAGUGUGAAUUGCAGAAUUCAGUGAAUCAUCGAAUCUUUGAACGCAAAUGGCGCUCCUGGGUCUUCCCAGGAGCAUGUCUGUCUGAGUGUCGGUUUCAAAAACAAAACGCGUCCGUGCUGCUCUAGGGUGUCACGUGCGCGGCGUUGAGGUGUCACGGCCUAGACCCAGGUCAUGGCCGUGUCCCUUGAAGGAUAGCGGGAACCCAAUAGCUCGUCUUUCGACGCGACUUUGGGGUGGCCAAAGAAUUUCUUAACCAUCUCCGGAUCGUGUUCGAUGUCGUUGCGACAGGACCCCCACUCGAGCGUUUGCGCUCCAUCCUUGACCUCAGAUCAGGCAAGACUACCCGCUGAAUUUAAGCAUAUCAAUAAGCGGAGGAAAAGAAACUAACAAGGAUUCC